AGUGCAAUUCUCUUUGUAAAAUAUAUUUCAUAAAAAAUCCAAAGCAAAAGCCCUGUCAUUCAUUUAUUUCAAAAGACAAAUCAUUUCAGUACUUCUUCCUUGAAAUGCCUGCAAUUUCUUCCUCUGGCCUCAGAGACGGGCAUUGGCUCCAUGCUUUACCAUGUCAGGAUAAAAAUCCAGGAGGGAGAAAUCUUGUUGUAAUGGAUAGCUGUUUUCAUCUAACACAAAAAGGCUCUGAAUCUUCAAUACACAAGGUUCUGCGCUGACUGCCAACAAGGAGUGGAACAGGUCUGCCACAACCAUCCCAUAGGUGAUCUCUGAGGAAGGAACUGCAGAAGACGAAAACACAGAGCUCUCAAGAUCGCUGCUAGCUUGACAGGAGCACACACAUUGAAUGGUUUCAUUGUUUCUUUUGGUUCCUCAAGUCUCAAACCCAUUUUAAAUUUCUCCUCCCGGCCAGUAGCGGUGGCUCACACCUGUAAUCCCAGCACUCUGGGAGACGGAGGUGGCUGGAUUACUUGAGGUCAGGAGUUCGAGACAUGCCUGGCCAACACAGUAAAACCCUGUCUCUACUAAAAAUACAAAAAUUAGCCGGGAGUGGUGGCACAUGCCUGUAAUCCCAGCUACUCGGGAAGCUGAGGCAGGAGAUUUGCUUGAACCCAGGAGGUAGAGGUUGCAAUGAGCUGAGAUUGUGCCACUGCACUCCAGCCUGGGCAACAGAGCAAGACUCUGCCUCUAAAUAAAUAAACAGGUAAGUAAACUACUCUUUCUAUACCUUCUCUUUCUAGUUACAAGCUAUUGAGGCACUCCAGAGUGACGGCAUGUGAUCCCCCUGACACAAGAAACAGGCCCAGAUAACACACCGUUCAGACCGACAGCAGUUCUGGUU
rnacentral:lncRNA from 10 species